AAAAACAUCUCUUCUUGAGAUUAAAAAUAAGAGGUAGGCUCUGCUCAGUGAAUUUAAUUAAAUAGCCGCAGUAUUUUGACUGUGCUAAGGUAGCGUAAUAAUUUGCCUUAUAAUAGAGGGCUAGAAUAAAGGAGUUGACGGUACUUGUGCUUUUUUCUCGGUGUAAUUUGAAUUUGAUAUCUUCGUAAAAAAGUGAAGUUCUUCUAAAGGGACGAUAAGACCCUAUAAAGCUUUACUAAAAGUUUUUUAUAAAGGAGAAGGGGAUAUAAGAGGAUUAGUUGAGCUGGGGCGGUAUCUACAGGGCUGUAGAAAAUAUAACAGAGGAUGUCUGGGGGUGAGGAUCUUUUGGAGAUAUAGAACAAGCUACUUUAGGGAUAACAGCAUAAUUUUUUUUUAUAGUUCAUAUAGAUAAAAAAGACUUAUGACCUCGAUGUUGAAUUGAGAAGUUUUCUUAAGGCAGAGAUUAAGAGGAGGGGUCUGUUCGACCUAUAAAUUCUCACGUGAUCUGAGUUCA
rnacentral:rRNA from 1 species